GUUUUAAUAGUUUAAAAUAAAACCUUGGUUUUGUAAACCAAAAAUGAAUAAAUAAUUCUUAAAACA
rnacentral:tRNA from 1 species